rnacentral:tRNA from 1 species
GGGGCUGUAGUGUAGCUUGGUAUCAUUCUACCUUGGGGUGGUAGCGACGGGAGUUCAAAUCUUCCCAGCCCCA